CUAGUGCCAGCCAUCACAACGUUAUGGGAUAAUUAAAUCAUGUCAAAUAUAGAAGCGACUUGCUCAUCCCUCCCAAGCAGAUUUAUGGAAACUCACCUGGAAACCACCACAACCUGGAAAGGUGGCAGGAGGAUGUUUAUCAGGCAGUCGAGUUCCAUACAUUUAUUUCAACCCUUCUUGAACCUACCCAUGUGGAAGGCAGAAGCGCUGGGACAUGACCACCCAACUCAGCUCUGAAGCAGCCCUCACACAAUGACGGGGACUGCAAAAAGGAAAUUCUUUGAUAGAAAACCUGGACAGAAACAUUUUAUUUUAUUUUUUAACUUCAGGCAGACAAAGGCAUGAAAGAAAUGUGCCCUUUUGUUGACUGAUUGACAGCUCCAAACCGAACCAGAAUUUUCAAAAGGUGGACCUGAUCUCGUAACAUUGUAAAUUCAGUAUCUAUACGGUUCAUGAAAAUUGUUUUCCCAUUGCUUCUACCUUUAUUGUCAAGCUGUCAAAAUAGCAACUUCCUACUUAAGUUAUAUUUAUGCAAGCAUAUAAAGUGCUUUUUAUUAAAUUUACUUUUGGUUGAAUUAGAUGGACUAUUUUAGAGGAAAUAAAUCAUUUGUAUAAUGGUGAAGAAAUUGACCUUAUGGGCACCUUCCUAAGAAUGAUGUUUCAUUAGUGCUGGAUCAGCUUUUGGUAUCUGCAAGACAAUCUGAGAUCUGGAGACCAAGGGCAGUAUAUUUCAUUUACAUACUCCAUCAGGCUCUCUGCCUGGGUCCUAACUCACCUCACCAAUGGGCUUACUUUUGUCUUCAUUCUUUGUUCCUGAUAUAUAUAUAGGCCAGUGCAUUUGAGACAAAACCAAUAAGAAGGCAGGAGCCAGGAGCUGUUUCUAAUCCAAGCAUCUCACAUAGGUCAAACCUUUAAAGAUGGGAAUGAAAAUGAAGCUGUCCACUCUGGUCCAUUGUCAAAGAGGUCAUUUGGCACUCAUCUCACAAAUGGGGUAGCAUAAAAGAUGGGAGGAAUGGAGUGCGAUGGGGGCAGGGGGAGGCGAUAUGCAGAAAUGACCAGGCAGAAGGUUAGGCCCUUGGUUUCUCAGUCUACAAAUCCUGGCUGUGAUUAGAUUUGGUACCGCACACUUUUCAGAGAUUGCUGGGGGAGAAAUCACCUGCCACCUGCAUUCUGCUGGUUGGAUUUGCUACUGAUGGAGAAGGUAUAGGCUUUACCCAGGACCGCAUUUUUUUUUUUUAACUGCCUUACUCACAUGUACCAAUGCCACAGGAAAUUGAUGGUAACCAAUUGUCUAUGUGCUUUUGUUAGCACCUCUUUUCUGCUGUGCUGGGCUACACAAUUACCACAGCCCUUGAGAAUGCUUAUUGUCAAUAGGAGUAAUUUCACAUCCCAUCCAUUUAGUGAAAAGAUGUGAAAAUUGAUCCAGCUUCUGCGAUAAGACUGGAACCAGGGUGCAGGCUACAAAUGCCUUGGAAAUAAAUAUAUGUCCAUCAUUGUUUUCAUUAGGUAUUGCUGUAGCCCAGCCUCCAGGGAAAUGAACUCAAGUCCAGCUGUCUUGCCGUAGAAGUUCAGAUGUACUCCCAAUCUGGUGAAGUGGGCUGUCAGUUUCAUUUAUUGUUAACUUUUUGUAGUGGUUGUCAAGUAAGGGGUUGGCAGUCUGAAGAGCACAAUUCUGUUUUAUCCACAGACAGGGGACAGUGUAAUUCGACACUGGCUGCCAAGGAGGAACUUGUCCUUCCUAUCCAGCUUAUUGUCUGGACUCUUUUUUUAUGAUUUCAAAAGUCUCUUCAAAAGGGCAACAAAAUUAGCCUUAAAUAGUAUUUCUUGGAUUGCCUUUAACAAUGGCGAUAAGGCCAAAGCUUCUAGUCUUGACAGAAGUGGUUUCAUGACAACUUGUUUUUAUCUUGCCAGAAUAAGCAAGGAACUUAAAAAUGUGUUUUCAUUAUGGCUAAAGACUGUGUUUCAGCUGAUGUCUCUUGCAAGGAAAGAACAAUCUGCAAACUCCAUUAUUAUGUCUCUCAUUCACUUUCUGCUCCUAAGGCAAAAAGAUUUUUGUGUUGUUUUCUUUUUUGUUGUUGUUGUUUUAAAGAGGCCCUCUAUUUCAAUUAGCACAAUUAACAUAUCAAGAAUUUGUGUUUCCAUAAAUUCUACAUUUCACUUCCAGGAAUCAGACUUUAAAAAUGACCUUCAUUUACCAAGAGCUGUAAUCAAGAUGAAAAUCUUCACCCUAAAAACUAACCUUGGAAACAGAAGGCUAAAAAAAGAAAAAGCAUAAUACAGACUGUGUUUUCCAAGUCUUCUUCCCUUGCCUGGUGACAUUAGCCUGGCUUUGAUCUAUAGACAUGACAUCAUCUAUAGGGUGUGCCUUGUGCCAAACAUACUACAUUUCUUUAACCAAGACAGUGGUUUUGUGUAGACUUAGAGAUCAAGGCUAAAUAGCUUCAGAGCUGGUCUGAGUCUUCACAGACAAACAGGUCAGAGCAUAUGUGAGUUACACAACUCCUGCAGACAGCCCAGCCUCUUCCUCUGUGGCCCGCUGGAGAGUUUACAUUUGUCAAUGACUUCCUUCAGGGCCUGGCUCAAGAUUCAUUUCCUCCGAGAGUCCCUCUCCUGCUAACUCACCUCACUCAGCCCUUCUACCUCAUCUGCUGAUUACUCAUACCCUUUUUCCUGCUCUGCCAGGCACUCGGUUCUAUUUUACCUUGUGACGGUUCUCUACAUUUUUACUUUAUCCUUUGGCUAAAUUAAAAUUGCCUGGAAAGUAGGGCCUGUCUGCUACUUCUUUUGUGUGCUUAGGGAGCAUGUUAGUGCUACACGUACCAUAGUGUCUUUUUCUUUUCUCUUUCUUUUUUUUUUUUUUUUAGAUGCAGUUUCGUUCCUGUUGCCCAGGUUGGAGUGCAAUGGUACAAUCUUGGCUCACUGCAACCUUCGCCUCCCAGGUUCAAGCGAUUCUCCAGCCUCAGCCUCCCGAGUAGCUGGGAUUACAGGUGCCCACCACCAUGCCCAGCUAAUUUUUUUUGUAUUUAUAAUAGAGACAGGUUUUCACCAUGUUGCUCAGGCUGGUCUCGAACUCCUGACCUCAGGUGAUCCACCCGCCUUGGUCUCCCAAAAUGCUACUAGGAUUACAAGUGUGAGCCACUGCGCCCGGCACAUAGUUUCUUAAUAAGAGAGGAGUAUUCUGUGGUUGUUGUGUUAGGCUUGGGACCCUGCCUUUGCCCUCUGUUCCUAAAAGCCAAACUCACUGCUUCAACAGCAGGGAGUCUUCCCAGUCCACUCUGGCAAUGGCAUGCCACCUUGGUAUAGUCCUCUCUGGUUUGACCCCAGAAAUCUGUUCCAAGCUUCUCUCCUCAGUGGCUAACAUCUCAUGGGUUUUACUUUCCAAGGUAGGGAUGGGGGAGGCGGGGAAGAAGGGUGCCUGAGCACAGAGCCACGUCAAGUGGAGAGCAGGGGACCCAAGGAGGAUGGGAGCAGACCUUUAGGUACCACAGGGAACAGUGGAGGAGCAGGUAGCUGGGGAGGCUCAGGUUGGGGAGGGGCCAGGGAAAUUUAGACCAAAAGUAUUCAGAAUCUAUGCUGAUAUGAAGAAUAGUCAAAGGUGCAAUUAAAGCAUCUCUGAAAUAAAGAUGUGAGGUCGUGAUUCUAAAUCCAGCCUCAUAUUUUCCUAGGGUAUAUGUGCUGGGGAAAUAUGAAGCCACAGGGUAAACAAGGUCCUUUUUUUCUGGAAUGUCAGCCUUAUCAACCACUUUAUAAAGCUUCCAAUUACAAAUGAAUUAACUUAAGCAACUGCCGCCCACCACCCCCCACCACCCAUCUUUUUGGAGGGGUUCACUUGUCUGGGAAGCCCAUGAAGCUUCAGGUAUGGCUGGAUCUAGGUGUUCCAAUGAUGUUGUCAGAGCUGUAGCUCUUUCCAUCUUUCUGCUCUGCUUGGCCUCAUUCUGUGUGGAGGCUUUCUCCAAGUUACAGUUAAACUGACUGCUGGCAACUCCAGUCCUUAUUCUCUUUGCUUAGCCACCCACAGAAGAGAAAUAACUUCUUUCUCUUCAUAUUUAUACACCAAUUUUAAAAAAGAUACUUCAGGUUGAGUGUGGUGGCUCACACUUGUAAUCCCAGCACUUUGGGAGGCCGAGGAGGGCAGAUCACCUGAGGUCAGGAGUUUGAGACCAGCCUGGCCAACAUGGUGAAACCCCAUCUCUACUAAAAAUACAAAAAUUAUCCAGGUGUGGUGGCGGGUGUCUGUAAUCCCAGCUACUCAGGAGGCGAGGCAGGAGAAUGGCUUGAACCUGGGAGAUGGAGGUUGCAGUAAGCCGAGAUCCCACUAUUGCACGCCA
rnacentral:lncRNA from 1 species